AGUGAACGCUGGCGGUAGGCCUAACACAUGCGAGUCGAACGGCAGCACAGUAAGAGCUUGCUCUUACGGGUGGCGAGUGGCGGACGGGUGAGGAAUACAUCGGAAUCUACUUUUUCGUGGGGGAUAACGUAGGGAAACUUACGCUAAUACCGCAUACGACCUACGGGUGAAAGCAGGGGAUCUUCGGACCUUGCGCGAUUGAAUGAGCCGAUGUCGGAUUAGCUAGUUGGCGGGGUAAAGGCCCACCAAGGCGACGAUCCGUAGCUGGUCUGAGAGGAUGAUCAGCCACACUGGAACUGAGACACGGUCCAGACUCCUACGGGAGGACGCAGUGGGGAAUAUUGGACAAUGGGCGCAAGCCUGAUCCAGCCAUAACGAGUGGGUGAAGAAGGCCUUCGGGUUGUAAAGCCCUUUUGUUGGGAAAGAAAAGCAGCAGGUUAAUACCCCGCUGUUCUGACGGUACCCAAAGAGUAAGCACCGGCUAACUUCGUG
rnacentral:rRNA from 1 species